GUCUUGUAAUUGGAAUGAUGGUGACCUAAACCCUCACCAAGAGUAACAAUUGGAGGGCAAGUCUGGUGCCAGCAGCCGCGGUAAUUCCAGCUCCAAUAGCGUAUAUUAAACUUGUUGCAGUUAAAAAGCUCGUAGUUGAAUUUCUGCGUUAUCGAGUUAUUGACUCUUGUCUUUAAUCGAUUUCGCUUUUGGGAUUUAUCCCUUUUUACUUUGAGAAAAUUAGAGUGUUUCAAGCAGACUUUUGUCUUGAAUACUUCAGCAUGGAAUAAUAGAGUAGGACUUUGGUUCUAUUUUGUUGGUUUUUGAACCUUAGUAAUGGUUAAUAGGAACGGUUGGGGGCAUUCGUAUUUAACUGUCAGAGGUGAAAUUCUUAGAUUUGUUAAAGACGAACUACUGCGAAAGCAUUUGCCAAGGACGUUUCCAUUAAUCAAGAACGAAAGUUAGGGGAUCGAAGACGAUCAGAUACCGUCGUAGUCCUAACCAUAAACUA
rnacentral:rRNA from 1 species